ACUCCUACGGGAGGCAGCAGUGGGGAAUAUUGCACAAUGGGGGAAACCCUGAUGCAGCCAUGCCGCGUGUAUGAAGAAGGCCUUCGGGUUGUAAAGUACUUUCAGUCGUGAGGAAGAUUAUACAGUUAAUAGCUGUGUGAUUUGACGUUAGCGACAGAAGAAGCACCGGCUAACUCC
rnacentral:rRNA from 1 species